rnacentral:rRNA from 1 species
AAUAUUGGACAAUGGGGGCAACCCUGAUCCAGCCAUGCCGCGUGUGUGAAGAAGGUCCUCGGAAUGUCAAGCACUUUAAGUUGGGAGGAAGGGUUGUAGAUUAAUACUCUGCAAUUUUGACGUUACCAACAGAAUAAGCACCGGCUACCUUCGUGCCAGCAGCCGCGGUAAUACGAAGGGUGCAAGCGUUAAUCGGAAAUACUGGGCGUAAAGCGCGCGUAGGUGGUUCAGUAAGAUGGGUGUGAAAUCCCCGGGCUUAACCUGGGAACUGCUUUCAUAACUGCUGAGCUAGAGUACGGUAGAGGGUAGUGGAAUUUCCUGUGUAGCGGUGAAAUGCGUAGAUAAAGGAAGGAACACCAGUGGCGAAGGCGACUACCUGGACUGAUACUGACACUGAGGUGCGAAAGCGUGGGGAGCAAAC